UACGGGGGGGGCAAGCGUUGUUCGGAAUUACUGGGCAUAAAGCGCACGUAGGCGGUCCGUUAAGUCAUGUGUGAAAUCCCCCGGCUCAACCGGGGAAUUGCGCCUGAUACUGGCGGGCUAGAGGUCGGUAGGGGUGAGCGGAACUCCAGGUGGAGCGGUGAAAUGCGUAGAUAUCUGGAGGAACACCGGUGGCGAAAGCGGCUCACUGGAUCGAAACUGACGCUGAGGUGCGAAAGCUAGGGUAGCAAACGGG
rnacentral:rRNA from 1 species